rnacentral:lncRNA from 1 species
AUUUUAAAGGAUUUGUUUAUUCUAAUGGAUAGAGAUUGUCUUUGGAUAAUAUAAAUAUUCCAAUGAUUUAAUGGAGUUAUCUGAAGCCAUGUAGACAUUAAUUAGAGUUCUAUAAUUAGAAUUAUAGAAGCUUCCUACUGCAAAAUAGAAGGCAAUAUGUUAAUGUUUCAGGUCUACUGUGCUGUUAGAACACAGUACCUGAUGCAUUUUCAUAUACCAUGGCUCUAAUAAUUCUUUCUAAAUAACCACUGUGAUAGAUAUUUAAUAGUUCUUUAAUUAAUGUUGGAGUAAAACCCAUUUAUAUCUGUGCUUAUCCCAGGCUUCCUUCUCUCACAAGUGAACAGUCUGUCUGCUUCCUGUGUGCAGAGCCACCCAAACUGAUGAUGACACAGAAUCCAAUCAGAAAAGCAGCAUAAAGAUGAAAGGUCUUACCAAUGAGAAGUGAACUUGCUAAAGUACACCUUUCAAUGAAUUUGGACAAAACUGAAAAAUGUUGUUGAUAUCAGAUCCUUAGGCUGAUUACUGAAGCGUUCGAUUUUUUCAGUAUGUCAAUUCAUCACUGUCCACCUGGUUAUAUUUAACACUUUCUCCUGUUUUCCAGCAUGUCUGCUGAGAUAGGCAAUCGCUGUCACAUGAUAUCUGCCUCUCAGGAAGGUGUGAUCUGCUGUUCAGCACGUGCCACAGCAGUUGUUGCAACAAGAUCUACCAAUGGACGCUGAAAUCAGCACUGAAGGCUGACUGGAUUGGCUCUGCUUCGUCCUGCGAAUCUGGGUCUGGCCUGACUUGGACCAAGGGGCUAACUGGGACAGUGUUUUCUCCAGAUGAUGGCAGGAGUACAAGGAGGCAAGCCCCACCGCACAAGCACAUUUUAAGCUCCAGCCUGUGUCUCCUUUUGGAUAAAGAUGUUUACUUGGCCCACCCAAAGUUGAGGGGUAGGGAAGCACACUCUUCCCAUGGAGGUUGGGGGGAUAAAGUGCAUAUUUCUGAUGAAAAAUCUAAUCAAUCAUAAGGACCUUAAGUAACUAGUCAGAUUGUAAUAUCUUUGAGGUCUGAGCCCAUGCCUGGUACUGCGUGUAUAUCCUCCCUGACAAGAAAUAUGAAUUUAAGCACACAGUAGGAAAUAAAAAGAUAAGUUUCAAAAUUUAAAUCA